rnacentral:rRNA from 1 species
GCACAGGUGCUGCAUGGCUGUCGUCAGCUCGUGUCGUGAGAUGUUCGGUUAAGUCCGCUAACGAGCGCAACCCUCGUCGUGUGUUAUACGUGUCACACGAUACUGCCGGUAUCAAGCCGGAGGAAGGUGGGGAUGAUGUCAAGUCAGCAUGGCCUUUAUAUCCUGGGCUACACACACGCUACAAUGGCAGAUACAAUAGGUUGCGAAACCGCGAGGUGGAGCCAAUCCUCAAAGUCUGUCUCAGUUCAGAUUGUAGGCUGCAACUCGCCUGCAUGAAGUUGGAGUUGCUAGUAAACGCAGGUCAGCUAUACUGCGUUGAAUACGUUCCCGGGGUUU